CUUGCCGCCUUCUCUGCCUGUUAGUCAUGCUGAAAACACGAGGCAGGAGGGAAAGGCAGCAUGAUUCACAGACUGGAGGGUGACAGUGACCAGAGCAAGUUUAACCUUUUAAAGAGGAAGGAUCUGUUGCUUGGCUACCAGGCAACAAGGAAGGCUACUCAGAGAGGGGUCCCCACAAGGGAUGAGGGACAAGUUGCCUAACCCUGUGGCAGACGGCUCUGCUUCUCUUCAUGCGACGGGGUCUAUGUUGCCAGGCCGGUCUCCAACUCUUGGGCUCAAGCUCUCCUUCUGUCUUGGACUCCCAAAGUGCUGAGAUUACAGGCGUGAGCUACCAUCCCUGCCCUGCUUGCUCCCCCAAAAAAACUACUUCAACAAAAUGUUUACGUGUGCUUACUGAUGUUUCCUCCCCAACUACUGAAUUUAUCCUUUGCUGAGCAUUACUUGAAAUUGUCAAAAGCUGGAAGUAAUGCAAAAAGAUGACUGCUUGUCCUCUUGAUGUUCUACUGUGAUGUGUCUAACAGGCCCACCAAAAUUUAUUUCAUUCACUAUAAGAAACGAGUCUUUGCUUGCCUUCAUAUUGACUAUAUAUUAGAGCCUGG
rnacentral:lncRNA from 1 species